rnacentral:rRNA from 1 species
UACGUAGGUGGCAAGCGUUGUCCGGAAUCAUUGGGCGUAAAGCGCGCGCAGGCGGCGAUCUACGUCUGGGGUGAAAGCCCGGAGCUCAACUCCGGGACUGCCUUGGAUACGGGAUCGCUUGAGGAUUGGAGAGGCAAGGGGAAUUCCACGUGUAGCGGUGAAAUGCGUAGAUAUGUGGAGGAACACCUGUGGCGAAGGCGCCUUGCUGGCCAAUUUCUGACGCUGAGGCGCGAAAGCGUGGGGAGCAAACAGG